rnacentral:rRNA from 1 species
CUACGUGCCAGCAGCCGCGGUAAUACGGAAGGUCCGGGCGUUAUCCGGAUUUAUUGGGUUUAAAGGGAGCGUAGGCUGGAGAUUAAGUGUGUUGUGAAAUGUAGACGCUCAACGUCUGACUUGCAGCGCAUACUGGUUUCCUUGAGUACGCACAACGUUGGCGGAAUUCGUCGUGUAGCGGUGAAAUGCUUAGAUAUGACGAAGAACUCCGAUUGCGAAGGCAGCUGACGGGAGCGCAACUGACGCUGAAGCUCGAAGGUGCGGGUAUCGAACAGGAUUAGAUACCCUGGUAGUCCGCACAGUAAACGAUGGAUGUCCGCUGUUGGUACCUGGUAUCAGCGGCUAAGCGAAAGCAUUAAGCAUCCCACCUGGGGAGUACGCCGGCAACGGUGAAACUCAAAGGAAUUGACGGGGGCCCGCACAAGCGGAGGAACAUGUGGUUUAAUUCGAUGAUACGCGAGGAACCUUACCCGGGCUUGAAUUGCAGAGGAAGGAUUUAGAGAUA